GGCGGUGUAGCUCAGUUGGUCAGAGCAGGAGAAUCAUAAUCUUCGUGUCCGGGGUUCGAAUCCCUGCACCGCCACCA
rnacentral:tRNA from 1 species